CCGAGUUUACAACUCCCAAACCCACUGUGAACGCCACCCAUCGUUGCUUCGGCGGGCUCGCCCCGGCGCCCACGGCGGCCCGGACACAGGCGCCCGCCGGAGGCCCCUAAACUCCUGAAGUCGUGGUUGCUCUCUGAGUUGUUGGCACGAAGCAAAUCAAUCA
rnacentral:misc_RNA from 1 species